rnacentral:rRNA from 1 species
AUUGAACGCUGGCGGCAGGCCUAACACAUGCAAGUCGAGCGGAGCGGCGGACGGGUAAGUAAUGCCUAGGUAUCUGCCUGGUAGUGAGGGAUAACGUCCGGAAACGUGCGCCAAUACAGCAGACUAUAAGAUCAGUCUAGGUCGGAUUAGCUAGUUGGGGGGGUAAAGGCUUACCAAGGCGACGAUCCGUAACUGGUCUGAGAGGAUGAUCAGUCACACUGGAACUGAGACACGGUCCAGACUCCUACGGGAGGCAGCAGUGGGGAAUAUUGGACAAUGGGCGAAAGCCUGAUCCAGCCAUGCCGCGUGUGUGAAGAAGGUCUUCGGAUUGUAAAUCACUUUAAGUUGGGAGGCGUUACCAACAGAAUAAGCACCGGCUAACUUCGUGCCAGCAGCCGCGGUAAUAC